rnacentral:rRNA from 1 species
GACGAACGCUGGCGGCGUGCUUAACACAUGCAAGUCGAACGGACAGGCCCUGCUUUUGUGGGGUUCUCGAGUGGCGAACGGGUGAGUAACACGUGAGUAAACUGCCCUUGACUUUGGGGUAACUUCUGGGAACAGGGGCUAAUACCGGAUAGAAGCUCCUGCUGCACGUGGGUGGUUGGUAAGUGUCGGCUGUUGGGGCUGGACUGGCGGCUUAUCAGCUGGUUGGUGUGGUAGUGGCUGUCCAGGGCUUUGACGGGUAGCCGGCCUGAGAGGGUGACCGGCCACAUUGGGACUGAGAUACGGAGCAGUCUCGUAUGGUAGGCAGCAGUGGGGAAUAUUGCACAAUGGGCGGAAGCCUGAUGCAGCAACGCCGGGUGCGGGAUGACGGCUUUUGGGUUGUAAACAGCUUUCGCCGGUGACGAAGAGUGAGUGACGGUAACGGGUAAAGAAGCACCGGCUAACUACGUG